rnacentral:misc_RNA from 1 species
UAAAUAGUUGUGGGGAUCUAACAAGAUCUGGAAGCUGCAAACAACCUUUGGUCAGAUAGAACUCCAUUAAUUGUUUAAUCUUCUUCUCAGAUGCAGUCAUGAAUAAUGGGUUUACUCUAAAUGCCGUAAAAAUCUCUCUUUCUGACCAGCCAAAGCUCAUCAAGAUCUUCUUUUUCCUUUCCCACUUGGAUUUGCUCAUUGAGGACAUUGAAUAGAAAGCAUAUAUAAAGGACUUUGCCGUUGGUUCAAACCCCAUUUCCUUAACUUC